rnacentral:tRNA from 1 species
AUAAAGAUAAGCUAAAUUAAAAAGCUUUUUGGUUCAUACCCAAACUAUAGGGCACCCUUUUUUAU